AACGAACGCUGGCGGCAUGCCUAACACAUGCAAGUCGAACGAGACCUUCGGGUCUAGUGGCGCACGGGUGCGUAACGCGUGGGAACCUGCCCUUAGGUUCGGGAUAACUCCCCGAAAGGGGUGCUAAUACCGGAUAAUGUCUUCGGACCAAAGAUUUAUCGCCUUUGGAUGGGCCCGCGUUGGAUUAGCUAGUUGGUAGGGUAAAAGCCUACCAAGGCGACGAUCCAUAGCUGGUCUGAGAGGAUGAUCAGCCACACUGGGACUGAGACACGGCCCAGACUCCUACGGGAGGCAGCAGUGGGGAAUAUUGGACAAUGGGCGAAAGUCUGAUACAGCAAUGCCGCGUGAGUGAUGAAGGCCUUAGGGUUGUAAAGCUCUUUUACCCGGGAUGAUAAUGACAGUACCGGGAGAAUAAGCUCCGGCUAACUACGUG
rnacentral:rRNA from 1 species